GACGAACGCUGUCGGCGCGCCUAACACAUGCAAGUCGAACGGAGUCAAGAGGAGCUUGCUUUUCUUGACUUAGUGGCGAACGGGUGAGUAACGCGUGAGUAACCUGCCCUGGAGUGGGGGACAACAGUUGGAAACGACUGCUAAUACCGCAUAAGCCCACGGAUCUGCAUGGAUCUGCGGGAAAAGGAUUUAUUCGCUCUAGGAUGGACUCGCGUCCAAUUAGCUAGUUGGUGAGGUAACGGCCCACCAAGGCGACGAUUGGUAGCCGGACUGAGAGGUUGAACGGCCACAUUGGGACUGAGACACGGCCCAGACUCCUACGGGAGGCAGCAGUGGGGGAUAUUGCACAAUGGGGGAAACCCUGAUGCAGCGACGCCGCGUGGAGGAAGAAGGUUUUCGGAUUGUAAACUCCUGUCGUUAGGGACGAUAAUGACGGUACCUAACAAGAAAGCACCAGCUAACUACGUG
rnacentral:rRNA from 1 species